rnacentral:tRNA from 1 species
GUUCCUAUAGUUUAACGGAAGAACGGGAGACUUCUAAUCUCUUGACCUGGGUUCGACCCCCAGUAGGAACA